CCUUGAUGCAAAUAGAAAUGAAGUAGCCUCUCCUUAUAAACCUUAGUUUGGCAAGAAAUAAAUGAUAAAGUAGAGUGUCCAGGAUACCUACGUGGUAUAACACUGUAUAGGACUGGGGUAGGCAACCUUAAGCACUCCAGAUGUUUUGGACUACAUAUCCCGUAAUGUCCUUACAAACAUAAUGCUGCCAAAGCAUCAGGGAGUUGUAGUCUGCAUCUACAGUGCCUAAAGUUGC